rnacentral:rRNA from 1 species
AACGAACGCUGGCGGCAGGCCUAACACAUGCAAGUCGAGCGCUCACCUUCGGGUGGGAGCGGCGCACGGGUGAGUAACACGUGGGAACCUACCUUGAAGUACGGAAUAACUGAGGGAAACUUCAGCUAAUACCGUAUACGCCCUACGGGGGAAAGAUUUAUCGCUUCAAGACGGGCCCGCGUUGGAUUAGCUAGUUGGUGAGGUAAUGGCUCACCAAGGCAACGAUCCAUAGCUGAUUUGAGAGAAUGAUCGGCCACACUGGGACUGAGACACGGCCCAGACUCCUACGGGAGGCGGCAGUGGGGAAUAUUGGACAAUGGGCGCAAGCCUGAUCCAGCCAUGCCGCGUGAGUGAUGAAGGCCUUCGGGUUGUAAAGCUCUUUCAGAUGGGACGAUGAUGACGGUACCAUCAGAAGAAGCCCCGGCUAACCUCGUGCCAGCCGCCGCGGUAAGAC